rnacentral:rRNA from 1 species
AUUGAACGCUGGCGGCAUGCUUUACACAUGCAAGUCGAACGGUAACAGGCCUUCGGGCGCUGACGAGUGGCGAACGGGUGAGUAAUGCAUCGGAACGUGCCCAGUCGUGGGGGAUAACGCAGCGAAAGCUGUGCUAAUACCGCAUACGAUCUGCGGAUGAAAGCGGGGGACCUUCGGGCCUCGCGCGAUUGGAGCGGCCGAUGUCAGAUUAGGUAGUUGGUGGGGUAAAGGCUCACCAAGCCAACGAUCUGUAGCUGGUCUGAGAGGACGACCAGCCACACUGGGAAUGAGAAACGGCCAGACUCCUACGGGAGGCAGCAGUGGGGAAUUUUGGACAAUGGGCGCAAGCCUGAUCCAGCAAUGCCGCGUGCAGGAAGAAGGCCUUCGGGUUGUAAACUGCUUUUGUACGGAACGAAACGGUCCGGGUUAAUACCCUGGGCUAGUGACGGUACCGUAAGAAUAAGCACCGGCUAACUACGUGCCAGCCGCCGCAGUAACAC